AGAUGCGCCGGGAAAUUACCCUGUGACCAUUGGUGACUCCGCUCGACUGCGGAGCUGGAGGCGGGAGGAGCCGAGUCCUCGAGCUCGGAGGUCCCAGAUCUGGGCUGCAGGAGGCCCGGGUCUUGGGGCCAAGGGGCACGCUAGGGUGGCUGCGGGGAGUUUGUGCUGGGAAAGAAGAGAGCGAAAUGUCAGCGGACUCACACCAGGAACGGCUGUCCCAGCCAGAUCCAUCUCCAUCACCAAAGUCUUGCAGUUCCUUUGAGCUAAUAGACAUGGAUGCUGGCAGUUUGUAUGAACCAGUUUCUCCUCAUUGGUUCUAUUGUAAGAUUAUAGAUUCUAAGGAGACAUGGAUUCCUUUCAACUCUGAGGAUUCACAGCAGCUGGAAGAGGCAUAUGGCUCUGG